UGCAGAGGGUGCGAGCGUUAAUCGGAAUUACUGGGCGUAAAGCGUGCGUAGGUGGAUACCUAAGUCGAAUGUGAAAUCCCCGGGCUUAACCUGGGAACUGCAUCCGAUACUGGGUAUCUGGAGUAUGGUAGAGGAAAGUGGAAUUCCCGGUGUAGCGGUGAAAUGCGCAGAUAUCGGGAAGAACACCCGUGGCGAAGGCGGCUCUCUGGAACGCAACUGACGCUGAGACGCGAAAGCGUGGGGAGCAAACAGG
rnacentral:rRNA from 1 species